CUACGGGGUGCACCAGUGAGGAAUAUUGCACAAUGGGGGGAACCCUGAUGCAGCAACGCCGCGUGGAGGAUGACGCAUUUCGGUGUGUAAACUCCUUUUAUAUGUCAAGAAAAUGACGGUAGUAUAUGAAUAAGCACCGGCUAACUCCGUGCCAGCAGCCGCGGUAAUACGGGGGGUGCAAGCGUUACUCGGAAUCACUGGGCGUAAAGGAUGCGUAGGCGGCCUAGCAAGUCAGGUGUGAAAUCCUAUGGCUUAACCAUAGAACUGCACUUGAAACUGCUAGACUAGAGUUCAGAAGGGGCAGGUGGAAUUAGUGGUGUAGGGGUAAAAUCCGUAGAGAUCACUAGGAAUACCCAUAGCGAAGGCGACCUGCUGGGAUGAAACUGACGCUGAGGCAUGAAAGCGUGGGGAGCAAACAGGAUUAGAUACCCCUGUAGUC
rnacentral:rRNA from 1 species